AUUGAACGCUGGCGGCAGGCCUAAUACAUGCAAGUCGAGGGAGAAUGUUGGAUUCGUCUGACAUGAAACCGGCGCACGGGUGCGUAACACGUAUGCAACCUACCUUUAACUGGGGUAUAGCUCAGAGAAAUCUGAAUUAAUCCCCCAUAAGACUACGACAUGGCAUCAUGAUGUAGUUAAAGCUCCGGCGGUUAAGGAUGGGCAUGCGGUACAUUAGCUAGUUGGUGAGGUAAUGGCUCACCAAGGCUACGAUGUAUAGGGGGUCUGAGAGGAUGAUCCCCCACACUGGUACUGAGACACGGACCAAACUCCUACGAGAGGCAGCAGUAGGGAAUAUUGGUCAAUGGACGCAAGUCUGAACCAGCCAUGCCGCGUGAAGGAUGAAGGCCCUAUGGGUCGUAAACUUCUUUUAUUAGGGAAGAAAAAACGGGAUGCGUCCUGUACUGACGGUACUUAAUGAAUAAGGAUCGGCUAACUUCGUGCCAGCAGCCGCCGUAA
rnacentral:rRNA from 1 species